rnacentral:misc_RNA from 1 species
UCUCCGUAGGUGAACCUGCGGAGGGAUCAUUACAGAGUUCAUUCCCUACCGGGUAGAUCUCCCACCCUAUGUUAUUAUUACUUUGUUGCUUUGGCGGGCCGUUAGGCUCCGGCCCGACUACCGGCCCCGGCUGGUAAGCGCCCGCCAGAGGACCCAAAACCCUGAAUAUUAGUGUCGUCUGAGUACUAUAUAAUAGUUAAAACUUCCAACAACGGAUCUCUUGGUUCUG